rnacentral:rRNA from 1 species
CAGCAGCCACGGUAAUGCGUAGGUGGCAAGCGUUGUCCGGAAUUAUUGGGCGUAAAGGGCUCGCAGGCGGUUUCUUAAGUCUGAUGUGAAAGCCCCCGGCUCAACCGGGGAGGGUCAUUGGAAACUGGGAAACUUGAGUGCAGAAGAGGAGAGUGGAAUUCCACAUGUAGCGGUGAAAUGCGUAGAGAUGUGGAGGAACACCAGUGGCGAAGGCGACUCUCUGGUCUGUAACUGACGCUGAGGCGUGAAAGCGUGGGGAGCAAACAGGAUUAGAUACCCGUGUAGUCCCUGUCUCUUAUAC